rnacentral:rRNA from 1 species
UACGAAGGGGGCUAGCGUUGUUCGGAAUUACUGGGCGUAAAGCGCACGUAGGCGGAAUGUUAAGUCAGGGGUGAAAUCCCGGGGCUCAACCCCGGAACUGCCUUUGAUACUGGCAUUCUCGAGUCCGGAAGAGGUGAGUGGAAUUCCGAGUGUAGAGGUGAAACUCGUAGAUAUUCGGAGGAACACCAGUGGCGAAGGCGGCUCACUGGUCCGGUACUGACGCUGAGGUGCGAAAGCGUGGGGAGCAAACAGG